GUGCUGGCUGCAGAUCUGGGUUUGGCACUCCUGGACGUCAUACUACAGCCCCGGGCAUUGUCUGACAAAGGAACCCGCUUCUCAGCACAAGUGAAUCAAUAAGCUGAAGCCCAUGGAAUCUGUUACCAUGUACCUCAUCUCUCAGAAGUCACUGCCUCUAGAACGGUAGAAAGUGCUCUGAAACUUCAUUAUGGUACCUCCUGGGAUUCACUGCUUUGAGAAGGUGGAGUACUGUCAUAGAGGGUGUGGUAUGUGUUCUGAACCAAUGACUACUGUGAUUUAUCUCCCUCCUACCCAGACUGCUUGGAUUCAGAUACUGAACAGUAAAAACAAACAUGGUUCCUCUCACUGUAACAGCAAAAGUCCUUAUAACUUGACUUCUUUUCUUGGGUUUCUGGGUUCUGCUAGUUCAGAGGCCUUACUAACUUAAGGAGGAAUGCUUCCAAGAAACAUAAUUUUAUCAUUGAAGUGGGAGUAGAGAUAGACCCUGGUCAUUUGCGUCUAACCCUUUGAACAGACAAGUAAAGGGAGCAUUACAAUGUUGGCUGGGUCGACCAUGUCAAAGAUGAGAUCAUCUUAACGCAAUAGAGGGAGUGAGAAUAGAAAAUCCAGGGAACUCCCAUGUAAACCUCCUGAUAUUCAGGAAUAGAUUAGAUGAUAGCAGCCUUACACUGGCAGUGCUCCAAUGGAUAUAUUUACAUCAGUGACAAGUUUGGAUCAUUCCAUCAUCUAAAUAAUCCAAUCAGCUAGUUUGAUUAAGCGAAAUGAAACAAAUGACAGUGGCCUCAUAAUUGUUAUAAUAAAAGGUCUUUAAUCUGCAUUUAUCUUUCUUGUGACUAGUGUUUACCUCUGCUUUAUGAAAGGUAGAAUGCAUAUUCUUGUCCACAGGUCACAGGACAGGAUUAGGAUAGACCUAAAAACAGAAUGAGCAUCACCUGAUACUAGAUUAGAAUGGAAGACAGCAAAUUUGUGGUGUGAUGGGGGAGCAGGAGAUUGGUGUGUAUCUGAGUAGCAUCACUUCUUGAAGUAUAGGAAGAAUAGAUAUUAGGUAAAAAGAAGAGUGGACUGUAGUGAACAUCUAGUUUUCUUCUUGUUGUGGACUUAAAUAUUCCCUCUGGGUAUCUCCUUUCCAUGCAAGCAUAUAAGUCUUGGUAGGAGUCAGUGUCUUCCUACCAUAGAAACAAAUUAUUUUAAAAAUUGCUUUGGCUGGUCUUAAAGCUCAUGCUUAGGGGAGGGCAGUAGUAGGAUCUUCAAGCUGUUUUGGAUCGUGACUUGUGGGUGUUUCUGGCUGAGCCUUGCUCUCUAGUUCUGAGUGAUUCCCUGGGAUAUAUACUCC
rnacentral:lncRNA from 10 species